rnacentral:rRNA from 1 species
GCGAAGAAGGACGUGGCUACCGGCGAAACGUUUCGGGGAGUUGGAAGUAAGCUUUGAUCCGAAAAUAUCCGAAUGAGGAAACUCACUAACUUCUUACUGAAUCUAUAAGUAAAGAAAGAGCAAACCUAGGGAACUGAAACAUCUUAGUACCUAGAGGAAAAGAAAGUAAAAACGAUUCCCUGAGUAGUGGCGAACGAAACGGGAACAGCCUAAACUUUUUGAAAUCCUAUGAUUUUCAAAAAGGGUUGUGGGAUAAAAAAGUUUUUCGUUAAUCGUCAGUUUGUCGAGGAAACGAAAAAGAAGAAAGAAACUCAAGCAAAAGCUAAGUCUUUUUUAGAAAUUAGGUGAAAUAACUGGAAAGUUAUACCAAAGAAAGUGAUAGUCUUGUAACCAAAAAUUUCUUACUAGAAUUUAUUCCCGAGUAGCAUGGGGCACGUGGAAUCCCGUGUGAAUCUGCGAGGACCACCUCGUAAGGCUAAAUAUUCCUGAAUGUCCGAUAGCGCAUAGUACCGCGAGGGAAAGGUGAAAAGAACCCCGGGAGGGGAGUGAAAUAGAACGUGAAAUUGCAAGCCCACAAACAGAAAGAGAACGACUUAGCGUUUAAUUUCGUGCCUGUUGAAGAAUGUUCCGGCGACUUAUAGUUAGUGGCAGGUUAAGAGAGAGAUCUCGGAGCCAGAGUGAAAGCGAGCUUGAAUAGAGCGUUGGUCACUAAUUAUAGACCCGAACCCGGUUGAUCUAACCAUGGCCAGGAUGAAACUUGGGUAACACUAAGUGGAGGUCCGAACCGACUGAUGUUGAAAAAUCAGCGGAUGAGCUGUGGUUAGGGGUGAAAUGCCAAUCGAAACCGGAGCUAGCUGGUUCUCCCCGAAAUGUAUUUAGGUGCAGCGGUUAAUAUUAUAGCGUAGGGGUAAAGCACUGUUUCGGUGCGGGCUGGUAAUUCGGUACCAAAUCGAGGCAAACUCUGAAUACUACGUGCACAGUUAACCAGUAAGACUAUGGGGGAUAAGCUUCAUAGUCAAGAGGGAAACAGCCCAGAUCACCAGCUAAGGCCCCUAAAUAAUGACUAAGUGAUAAAGGAAGUGGAAAGGCUUAGACAACCAGGAGGUUUGCUUAGAAGCAGCAAUCCUUUAAAAAGUGCGUAAUAGCUUACUGGUCUAGCAAUUCUGCGCCGAAAACUUAUGGGACUAAGUCAUUUGCCGAAGCUGUGAGAUAGAUACAUAUUUUUCUAGGAAUCUAGGAACUUAUCUUUCUAUCGGUAGGGGAGCGUUCUGUUGUAGAGUGAAGUAUUAGCGAAAGCGGGUAUGGACGAAACAGAAGUGAGAAUGUCGGAUUGAGUAGCGAAAACAUUGGUGAGAAUCCAAUGCUCCGAAAACCUAAGGUUUCCUCCGCAAGGCUCGUCCACGGAGGGUUAGUCAGGACCUAAGAUGAGGCUGAGAAGCGUAGUCGAUGGAGAAUUGGUCAACAUUCCAAUACUCGGUUCUAGCAGGUAUCGAGGGACGAAGAAGGCUAAACUAGCCAGAUAUUGGUUACUGGUUUAAGUAGUGAAUUCAAACAAAAUUGAAUUCUUUAUAAGGUGUUGAAGAUUAGAGAAACUAAUCUGAGCUGAAAUACGAAUACACGAUUUUGAAAAUCAAAGUAGUUGAUGUCAUACUUCCAAGAAAAGCUCGCUAUGCCUUAUGCUAGAAUCACCUGUACCAGAAACCGACACAGGUAGGUAGGUAGAGAAUACCAAGGAGCGCGGGAGAACCCUCCUUAAGGAACUCGGCAAAAUAGCUCUGUAACUUCGGAAGAAAGAGUGCCUUUUAGGCUGCAAUAUCAAGUUCCAAGCAACUGUUUAGCAAAAACACAGGUCUCCGCAAAGUGGUAACACGACGUAUGGGGGCUGACGCCUGCCCAGUGCUGGAAGGUUAAAGAAGUCGGUUAGCGCAAGCAAAGCUGGUAACUGAAGCCCCAGUGAACGGCGGCCGUAACUAUAACGGUCCUAAGGUAGCGAAAUUCCUUGUCAGGUAAGUUCUGACCCGCACGAAUGGCGUAAUGAUUUGGAAGCUGUCUCGAGGAGGGACUCGGUGAAAUAGAACUAGCUGUGAAGAUGCGGCUUACCUGCGCCUGGACAGUAAGACCCUAUGAAGCUUUACUGUAUCCUGAAAUUGGAUUUCGAUUUUAUUUGCGCAGAAUAGGUGGGAGACGGUGAGAUUUUUCUUUUGGGAAAGAUGGAGUCAUUAGUGAGAUACCACUCUGAUAAAAUUAAAAUUCUAACUUCAUACCGUAAGCCGGUUGAAAAACAGUUUCAGGUGGGCAGUUUGACUGGGGCGGUCGCCUCCCAAAAGGUAACGGAGGCGUACAAAGGUUUCCUCAGAUCGGUCAGAAAUCGAUCUUUGAGUGCAAAGGCAAAAGGAAGCUUAACUGUGAGACAAACAAGUCGAGCAGAGACGAAAGUCGGUCUUAGUGAUCUGACGAUGCUGUGUGGAAAGGUCGUCACUCAACGGAUAAAAGUUACUCUAGGGAUAACAGGCUGAUCUCCCCCAAGAGUUCCUAUCGACGGGGAGGUUUGGCACCUCGAUGUCGGCUCAUCGCAUCCUGGGGCGGAAGUACGUCCCAAGGGUUGGGCUGUUCGCCCAUUAAAGCGGUACGUGAGCUGGGUUCAGAACGUCGCGAGACAGUUCGGUCCAUAUCCGGCGUGGGCGUUAGAGUAUUGAGAGUGACCUUUCUCUAGUACGAGAGGACCGAGAAAGAUGUACCGCUGGUGUACCAGUUCUUGUGCCAACAGGAAAUGCUGGGUAGCUAAGUACAGUUAGGAUAACCGCUGAAAGCAUCU